GACGAACGCUGGCGGCGUGCUUAACACAUGCAAGUCGAACGGUAAGGCCCUUUCGGGGGUACACGAGUGGCGAACGGGUGAGUAACACGUGGGUGAUCUGCCCUGCACUUUGGGAUGAGCCUGGGAAACUGGGUCUAAUACCGGAUAGGACUACGCGAUGCAUGUCGUGUGGUGGAAAGCUUUUGCGGUGUGGGAUGGGCCCGCGGCCUAUCAGCUUGUUGGUGGGGUGAUGGCCUACCAAGGCGACGACGGGUAGCCGGCCUGAGAGGGUGUCCGGCCACACUGGGACUGAGAUACGGCCCAGACUCCUACGGGAGGCAGCAGUGGGGAAUAUUGCACAAUGGGCGCAAGCCUGAUGCAGCGACGCCGCGUGGGGGAUGACGGCCUUCGGGUUGUAAACCCCUUUCAGCACAGACGAAGCGUAAGUGACGGUAUGUGCAGAAGAAGCACCGGCCAACUACGUG
rnacentral:rRNA from 1 species